rnacentral:rRNA from 1 species
GAGUUUGAUCCUGGCUCAGGACGAACGCUGGCGGCGCGCCUAACACAUGCAAGUCGAACGAGCGAGAGAGAGCUUGCUUUCUCGAGCGAGUGGCGAACGGGUGAGUAACGCGUGAGGAACCUGCCUCAAAGAGGGGGACAACUGUUGGAAACGACUGCUAAUACCGCAUAAGCCCACAGCUCGGCAUCGAGCAGAGGGAAAAGGAGCAAUCCGCUUUGAGACGGCCUCGCGUCCGAUUAGCUAGUUGGUGAGGUAAUGGCCCACCAAGGCGACGAUCGGUAGCCGGACUGAGGGGUUGAACGGCCACAUUGGGACUGAGACACGGCCCAGACUCCUACGGGAGGCAGCAGUGGGGAAUAUUGCACAAUGGGGGAAACCCUGAUGCAGCGACGCCGCGUGGAGGCGGAAGGUCUUCGGAUUGUAAACUCCUGUUGUUGAGGAAGAUAAUGACGGUACUCAACAAGGAAGUGACGGCUAACUACGUGCCAGCAGCCGCGGUAAAACGUAGGUCACAAGCGUUGUCCGGAAUUACUGGGUGUAAAGGGAGCGCAGGCGGGAAGACAAGUCGGAAGUGAAAUCUAUGGGCUCAACCCAUAAACUGCUUUCAAAACUGUUUUUCUUGAGUAGUGCAGAGGUAGGCGGAAUUCCCGGUGUAGCGGUGGAAUGCGUAGAUAUCGGGAGGAACACCAGUGGCGAAGGCGGCUACUGGGCACCAACUGACGCUGAGGCUCGAAAGUGUGGGUAGCAAACAGGAUUAGAUACCCUGGUAGUCCACACCGUAAACGAUGAUUACUAGGUGUUGGAGGAUUGACCCCUUCAGUGCCGCAGUUAACACAAUAAGUAAUCCACCUGGGGAGUACGACCGCAAGGUUGAAACUCAAAGGAAUUGACGGGGGCCCGCACAAGCAGUGGAGUAUGUGGUUUAAUUCGACGCAACGCGAAGAACCUUACCAAGUCUUGACAUCCCUUGACGAUGCUGGAAACAGUAUUUCUCUUCGGAGCAAGGAGACAGGUGGUGCAUGGUUGUCGUCAGCUCGUGUCGUGAGAUGUUGGGUUAAGUCCCGCAACGAGCGCAACCCUUACUGUCAGUUACUACGCAAGAGGACUCUGGCAGGACUGCCGUUGACAAAACGGAGGAAGGUGGGGAUGACGUCAAAUCAUCAUGCCCUUUAUGACUUGGGCUACUCACGUACUACAAUGGCGUUAAACAAAGAGAAGCAAGACCGCGAGGUGGAGCAAAACUCAGAAACAACGUCCCAGUUCGGACUGCAGGCUGCAACUCGCCUGCACGAAGUCGGAAUUGCUAGUAAUCGUGGAUCAGCAUGCCACGGUGAAUACGUUCCCGGGCCUUGUACACACCGCCCGUC